rnacentral:rRNA from 1 species
AGCUCCAAUAGCGUAUAUUAAAGUUGUUGCAGUUAAAAAGCUCGUAGUUGGAUUUCUGGUGGGAGGGAUCGGUACUUCAUUCUUUGUUGUGACUUGAAUCCUCUCCGGCCAUCCUUGGGUGGAUCUUGUCUGGCAUUAAGUUGUCAGGCAGGGGAUGCCCAUCGUUUACUGUGAAAAAAUUAGAGUGUUCAAAGCAGGCUUAUGCCGUUGAAUAUAUUAGCAUGGAAUAAUAAGAUAGGGCCCUGGUACUAUUUUGUUGGUUUGCGUACCGAGGUAAUGAUUAAUAGGGACAGUUGGGGGUAUUUGUAUUCAGUAUUCAGUGGUGAAAUACUUAGACCUACGGAAGACAAACUACUGCGAAAGCAUUUACCAAGGAUGUUUUCA